rnacentral:rRNA from 1 species
UUGGAGGGCAAGUCUGGUGCCAGCAGCCGCGGUAAUUCCAGCUCCAAUAGCGUAUAUUAAAGUUGUUGCAGUUAAAAAGCUCGUAGUUGAAUUUCGGAAUCAGUACGUUGGUCGUGCCUUAGGUACGUACUGGUGUUACUGGUUUCUACCUUCUGACGAACCAUCAUGUCAUUCAUUUGGUGUGGCGGGGAAUCAGGACUGUUACUUUGAAAAAAUUAGAGUGUUUAAAGCAGGCUCGCGCUUGAAUACAUUAGCAUGGAAUAAUGAAAUAGGACGUUGAUCCUAUUUUGUUGGUUUCUAGGAUUGACGUAAUGAUUAAUAGGGAUAGUUGGGGGCAUUAGUAUUCAAUUGUCAGAGGUGAAAUUCUUGGAUUUAUUGAAGACUAACUACUGCGAAAGCAUUUGCCAAGGAUGUUUUCAUUAAUCAAGAACGAAAGUUAGGGGAUCGAAGACGAUCAGAUACCGUCGUAGUCUUAACCAUAAACUAUGCCGACUAGGGAUCGGAUGAUGUUAUUUUUAAUGACUCAUUCGGCGCCUUACGGGAAAC